rnacentral:rRNA from 1 species
CACGCCGUAAACGAUGAGUACUAGGUGUAGGAGGGUCCAACCUUCUGUGCCGCAGUUAACACAAUAAGUACUCCGCCUGGGAAGUACGAUCGCAAGAUUAAAACUCAAAGGAAUUGACGGGGGCCCGCACAAGCAGCGGAGCAUGUGGUUUAAUUCGAAGCAACGCGAAGAACCUUACCUGGACUUGACAUCCCCUGAAUAGUGCAGAGAUGCAUGAAGCCCUUCGGGGCAGGGAGACAGGUGG